rnacentral:rRNA from 1 species
CGCGUGCACUGGUCCGGCCGGGCCUUUCCCUCUGCGGAACCCCAUGCCCUUCACUGGGUGUGGCGGGGAAACAGGACUUUUACUUUGAAAAAAUUAGAGUGCUCAAGGCAGGCCUAUGCUCGAAUACAUUAGCAUGGAAUAAUAGAAUAGGACGUGUGGUUCUAUUUUGUUGGUUUCUAGGACCGCCGUAAUGAUUAAUAGGGACAGUCGGGGGCAUCAGUAUUCAAUUGUCAGAGGUGAAAUUCUUGGAUUUAUUGAAGACUAACUACUGCGAAAGUAUUUGCCAAGGAUGUUUUCAUUAAUCAGGAACGAAAGUUAGGGGAUCGAAGACGAUCAGAUACCGUCGUAGUCUUAACCAUAAACUAUGCCGACUAGGGAUCGGACGAUGUUACAUUUUUGACGCGUUCGGCACCUUACGAGAAAUCAAAGUGCUUGGGCUCCAGGGGGAGUAUGGUCGCAAGGCUGAAACUUAAAGAAAUUGACGGAAGGGCACCACCAGGGGUGGAGCCUGCGGCUUAAUUUGACUCAACACGGGGAAACUCACCAGGUCCAGACACAAUGAGGAUUGACAGAUUGAGAGCUCUUUCUUGAUUUUGUGGGUGGUGGUGCAUGGCCGUUGUUAGUUGGUGGAGUGAUUUGUCUGCUUAAUUGCGAUAACGAACGAGACCUUAACCUGCUAAAUAGCCCGUAUUGCUUUGGCAGUACGCUGGCUUCUUAGAGGGACUAUCGG